rnacentral:rRNA from 1 species
CCCUUAGAUGUUCUGGGCUGCACGCGCGCUACAAUGUCAUGAAAACCGGGAUGCUUUAACGAAAUUUAUUGCGAAACCCCAACUCAUGACGCGACUGGGAUUGACGUUUUUAAUUAUUCGUCAUGAACGAGGAAUUCCUAGUAAACGCGAAUCAUCAGUUCGUGUUGAUUAUGUCCCUGCCCUUUGUACACACCGCCCGUCGCUCCUACCGAUUGAGUGGUCCGGUGAGGCUUUGGGAUCUGAGCGGAAAGAGCGUUUCGCUGUUUCUGCCCGGAAAACUCAGUCGAACCUUAUCAUUUAGAGGAAGGAGAAGUCGUAACA